rnacentral:rRNA from 1 species
GAUGAACGCUGGCGGCGUGCCUAAUACAUGCAAGUCGAGCGAACAGACGAGGAGCUUGCUCCUCUGACGUUAGCGGCGGACGGGUGAGUAACACGUGGAUAACCUACCUAUAAGACUGGGAUAACUUCGGGAAACCGGAGCUAGUACCGGAUAAUAUAUUGAACCGCAUGGUUCAAUAGUGAAAGACGGUUUUGCUGUCACUUAUAGAUGGAUCCGCGCUGCAUUAGCUAGUUGGUAAGGUAACGGCUUACCAAGGCAACGAUGCGUAGCCGACCUGAGAGGGUGAUCGGCCACACUGGAACUGAGACACGGUCCAGACUCCUACGGGAGGCAGCAGUAGGGAAUCUUCCGCAAUGGGCGAAAGCUUGACGGAGCAACGCCGCGUGAGUGAUGAAGGUCUUCGGAUCGUAAAACUCUGUUAUUAGGGAAGAACAAAUGUGUAAGUAACUAUGCACGUCUUGACGGUACCUAAUCAGAAAGCCACGGCUAACUACGUG